UAUCAUGACAAUAACAAAUAGUAGUAGUAACACGGAAAGAGAAUAGGACACUCGAUACAUUUUCAUUUUGUUGUUGUUUGUUUUGUUGUUGUUUGUUUUGUUGUUGUU
rnacentral:ribozyme from 1 species